UGUGUGAAAAGAUUUUUCUUCUUCUCUCUUCUUUUUCUUCUCUGUCUCCUGUUUUCCAGUAUCAUCACGCUGUCCACCUCCUUCAGGAACCUUUUCUGGACAAAUUCUAUCCAACCCCAAAAUUCUAGCCAGCCCCUGAUUGACUUCUUGCCCCUACAAUCUUCACAGCUGUAUCCAUGGAUUGCUAGGUGCCUCUUCCUGUCACCCAGCCUCCCUUGCAGCCAGUGAAACGGGUCGCCUCCUCUGGAAAGCUUUCCCUGACCUUCCUAGGGCCCCAAACUACAUCAUUGCUCAUCACCUGUCUACCGCCUCUCCUCCAAGGCAAGGGCCACGGGGUUUGUUCGUCACUGAGUUCCCAGGACUGGCUCUGUGGUGAGAGAUGUUUGCCCUACAGUGACUCCCACUUAGUCCUUGAAGUUGAUAAACAAUAAAUCAAUUGUAUAUUUUGGACCAUCAACAGUGAUCUACAUCCGGGAAACAUUCAGGGAGAAAGCAAACAAGAUGA
rnacentral:lncRNA from 1 species